rnacentral:tRNA from 1 species
GCCUGGGUGGCUCAGUCGGUUGAGCAUCUGACUUUGGCUCAGGUCAUGAUCUCGUGGUUCAUGGGUUCGAGCCCCGCAUCAGGCU